rnacentral:misc_RNA from 1 species
UUUCCGUAGGUGAACCAGCGGAAGGAUCAUUACUGAGUGAGGGCCCCUCGGGGUCCAACCUCCCACCCGUGUUUAACGAACCUUGUUGCUUCGGCGGGCCCGCCUCACGGCCGCCGGGGGGCAUCUGCCCCCGGGCCCGCGCCCGCCGAAGCCACCUGUGAACGCUGUCUGAAGUAUGCAGUCUGAGACAAUUAUUAAAUUAAUUAAAACUUUCAACAACGGAUCUCUUGGUUCCG